rnacentral:rRNA from 1 species
GAACUGAAACAUCUAAGUAGCUGCAGGAACAGAAAUCAACCGAGAUUCCCAAAGUAGUGGCGAACGAAAUGGGAAGAGCCUUGUACUCUUUAGCAGCAUUGUUAGCAGAACGGGAUGGAAAGCCCGGCCAUAGCAGGUGAUAGCCCUGUAUGCGAAAACAGCGUUGUGGAACUAGGUGUACGACAAGUAGGGCGGGACACGUGAAAUCCUGUCUGAAGAUGGGGGGACCAUCCUCCAAGGCUAAAUACUCGUAAUCGACCGAUAGUGAACCAGUACCGUGAGGGAAAGGCGAAAAGAACCCCGGGAGGGGAGUGAAAUAGAUCCUGAAACCGCAUGCAUACAAACAGUCGGAGCCUGGAAACGGGUGACGGCGUACCUUUUGUAUAAUGGGUCAGCGACUUACAUUCAGUGGCAAGCUUAACCGAUUAGGGAAGGCGUAGCGAAAGCGAGUCCGAAUAGGGCGUUGAGUCGCUGGGUGUAGACCCGAAACCAGAUGAUCUAUCCAUGGCCAGGUUGAAGGUGCGGUAACACGUACUGGAGGACCGAACCCACUAACGUUGAAAAGUUAGGGGAUGAGCUGUGGAUAGGGGUGAAAGGCUAAACAAAUCUGGAAAUAGCUGGUUCUCUCCGAAAACUAUUUAGGUAGUGCCUCGUGUCUCACCUUCGGGGGUAGAGCACUGUCAUGGUUGGGGGGUCUAUUGCUGAUUACCCCGCCAUAGCAAACUCCGAAUACCGAAGAGUGCAAUCACGGGAGACAGACAUCGGGUGCUAACGUCCGGUGUCAAGAGGGAAACAACCCAGACCGCCAGCUAAGGUCCCAAAGAUUGGCUAAGUGGGAAACGAAGUGGGAAGGCUAAAACAGUCAGGAGGUUGGCUUAGAAGCAGCCACCCUUUAAAGAAAGCGUAAUAGCUCACUGAUCGAGUCGUCCUGCGCGGAAGAUGUAACGGGGCUAAGCCAGUCACCGAAGCUGCGGACGCACGCAAGUGCGUGGUAGGAGAGCGUUCUGUAAGCCUGUGAAGGUGUCUUGUAAAGGAUGCUGGAGGUAUCAGAAGUGCGAAUGCUGACAUGAGUAGCGAUAAAGGGGGUGAAAGGCCCCCUCGCCGUAAGCCCAAGGUUUCCUACGCAACGUUCAUCGGCGUAGGGUGAGUCGGCCCCUAAGGCGAGGCAGAGAUGCGUAGCUGAUGGGAAGCAGGUUAAUAUUCCUGCACCGUCGUAUGAUGCGAUGGGGGGACGGAUCGCGGAAGGUUGUCCGGGUGUUGGAAGUCCCGGUCCCUGCAUUGGAGAAGGCGCUUAGGCAAAUCCGGGCGCGGAAUUCAAGGAUGUGGGGCGAGCGGCCUAGUGCUGCGAAGCAAUUGGAAGUGGUUCCAAGAAAAGCCUCUAAGCUUCAGUCAUACGAGACCGUACCGCAAACCGACACAGGUGGGCGAGAUGAGUAUUCUAAGGCGCUUGAGAGAACUCGGGAGAAGGAACUCGGCAAAUUGACACCGUAACUUCGGAAGAAGGUGUGCCUUUAGUAGGUGAUCCAUUUACUUGGUGAGCCCAAUGAGGCCGCAGAGAAUCGGUGGCUGCAACUGUUUAUUAAAAACACAGCACUCUGCAAACACGAAAGUGGACGUAUAGGGUGUGACGCCUGCCCGGUGCCGGAAGAUUAAAUGAUGGGGUGCAAGCUCUUGAUUGAAGUCCCGGUAAACGGCGGCCGUAACUAUAACGGUCCUAAGGUAGCGAAAUUCCUUGUC